rnacentral:lncRNA from 1 species
GUUGUGCAUCGUGUUUGUGGCACCCUCCAUGAAUCAUCUCUUAUGAGCUACGUCUUUCUUGUGCAAAUUGUUAAACUUCAUGUGUCACUUUCUUCAUCUCCAAUGUGAGUUUAUCUCAAGACUUCCCAGGUUGAUAUUGAAAGUUUUCCUGCAGGGGUUAGUCCUCACAAAAUAUACCAAUAUCUACUCAAGCAGUUUUUAGUUCAGUAACCAAACUAGACUCCAUGUCUAAUCAGAUUCAGGAAGCCUAUUUAACCUAAGCACCAUGCUUAAUUUAAAUGCCAAUGGAAGUAUGUCGAGUACUUCCAAACCAACACUUGCUAGUAAAUAGAUAA